rnacentral:rRNA from 1 species
AUUGAACGCUGGCGGCAGGCCUAACACAUGCAAGUCGAGCGAGCGGCGGGCGGGUGAGUAAUGUAUGGGGACUGCCCGAUAGAGGGGGAUAACUACUGGAAACGGUAACUCAUACCGCAUACUAUCGGAUAACCCAUAUGGGAUUAGCUAGUAGGUGAGGUAAUGGCCCACCUAGGCGACGAUCCCUAGCUGGUCUGAGAGGAUGAUCAGCCACACUGGGACGGAGACACGGCCCAGACGCCUACGGAGGCAGCAGUGGGGAAUAUUGCACAAUGGGCGCAAGCCUGAUGCAGCCAUGCCGCGUGUAUGAAGAAGUCCCUAGGGUUGUAAAGUACUUUCAGUCGGGAGGCGUUACCGACAGAAGAAGCACCGGCUAACUCCGUGCCAGCCGCCGCGGUAAUUC